rnacentral:rRNA from 1 species
AACGAACGCUGGCGGCAGGCUUAACACAUGCAAGUCGAGCGCCCCGCAAGGGGAGCGGCAGACGGGUGAGUAACGCGUGGGAAACUACCCUUUGGUACGGAAUAACACAGAGAAAUUUGUGCUAAUACCGUAUGUGCCCUUCGGGGGAAAGAUUUAUCGCCAUAGGAUGUGCCCGCGUAGGAUUAGCUAGUUGGUGUGGUAAUGGCGCACCAAGGCGACGAUCCUUAGCUGGUCUGAGAGGAUGAUCAGCCACACUGGGACUGAGACACGGCCCAGACUCCUACGGGAGGCAGCAGUGGGGAAUAUUGGACAAUGGGCGCAAGCCUGAUCCAGCCAUGCCGCGUGAGUGAUGAAGGCCUUAGGGUUGUAAAGCUCUUUUACCAGGGAUGAUAAUGACAGUACCUGGAGAAUAAGCUCCGGCUAACUCCGUG